GGGCCCGCACAAGCGGUGGAGCAUGUGGUUUAAUUCGAUGCAACGCGAAGAACCUUACCAGGACUUGACAUACUACGAAUUCUUCUGAGAAGAAGAAGUGCCUUCGGGAACGUAGAUACAGGUGGUGCAUGGCUGUCGUCAGCUCGUGUCGUGAGAUGUUGGGUUAAGUCCCGCAACGAGCGCAACCCUUAUUUUUAGUUACUAACUCGUUAGGUUCUCUAGAAAGACUGCCGGUGACAAACCGGAGGAAGGUGAGGAUGACGUCAAGUCAGCAUGCCCCUUAUGUCCUGGGCUACACACGUGCUACAAUGGUUAAGACAAAGAGUCGCGAGCUCGCGAGAGUCAGCUAAUCUCAUAAACUUAGCCUAAGUUCAGAUUGUAGGCUGCAACUCGCCUGCAUGAAGUUGGAAUCGCUAGUAAUCG
rnacentral:rRNA from 1 species